rnacentral:rRNA from 1 species
CCUGCGGGUGGCUGCAGUGGGGAAUAUUGGACAAUGGGGGGAACCCUGAUCCUGCCAUGCCGCGUGUGUGAAGAAGGCCCUCGGGUUGUAAAGCACUUUCAGUGAGGAAGAACGCCUGGUGGUUAAUACCCAUCAGGAAAGACAUCACUCACAGAAGAAGCACCGGCUAACUCCGUGCCAGCAGCCGCGGUAAUACGGAGGGUGCGAGCGUUAAUCGGAAUUACUGGGCGUAAAGCGCGCGUAGGUGGCUUGAUAAGCCGGUUGUGAAAGCCCCGGGCUCAACCUGGGAACGGCAUCCGGAACUGUCAAGCUAGAGUGCAGGAGAGGAAGGUAGAAUUCCCGGUGUAGCGGUGAAAUGCGUAGAGAUCGGGAGGAAUACCAGUGGCGAAGGCGGCCUUCUGGACUGACACUGACACUGAGGUGCGAAAGCGUGGGUAGCAAACAGGAUUAGAUACCCGUGUAGUC